UAAAAAUAGGCAGCUUUAAAACCGUUGUUGCAUUUUGAGUCAAUACUUCAGAACCAGUUUCCUCUUGUUCCUUUUAACCCCGAAUGCAGAAACGCGAAUACACGGAGCGGACACAGAUCCUCGUUUUAACGCAGCUGCCUAUAAUUCCUACACAGAAGCCCAAAUUGUGAUGGCAACUAUCUCACUGGAGAAAAGCCAAUUCAAAUAUCCUUUAAGAAACAGCCGUAUAUGUAACGAAACUCAAUUCUUUUUAACUGUUUACACGGACUGCUGAGCUGAAUCUGCCACCGCCAAUACCAACAGGCUUUCACGCAGUCACAACUCAUGGACCAUUCAGAAAUCUGAUGGAGGAGAUUAAGAAGCUGGUUCUGAAUCUCUAAGUGUGUGUCUUCAGGAUCCUGUACCUCCUCCCAGAUGAUAUUCAUGAGAAGAGGGCAUGCCCCAGAAGCAUCCAGACCUUCCCCAAGGAUUCUUCAAGUCUAAAGUUCGACAAAUAGGUGUCUUUGAUUGUAUCACUCCAACUUCCAGCAGGAGUAACUGGACGAUAGACAGAAGUGGAAUCCCUGGGAAAUUUUCCCCAACCCUUUCUCUAGGUAUUGAGACCAGUGACCAAUGAGCUCAUGUCCCAGCAACCCAACGAACCCACAAAAAUCAAUAUCGUGUCACACACUGCAGGCACAUUGGCUCCUUUCGUUGCAGGUCCCAACAAUCAACUCUUGAGUAAGUGGUGCACAACUAUAGAUGCUUUCGAAAAUCAAACUCAUGAUUCACGUUUACAUUUUUGUACAAAAUCAUCAAUUCAUCUCUAAUCAACUGACCAGAGGAUCACAUGAGACCACAAUCUCAAAUAAUCUAGAAGCAGAAUUUAAAAAAACGAGGAAACAUAUCCUGUUUAGAAUCUACUUUUUUUUUAAACCUUAGAACAAUUUUGCUAUUUCAAUCCAGUUCCUGCAAUCCUUCUAAUAUUCUCUUGACUGCAGCAUACUAUUGCAAAGAAAGCUUCUAUUUUGCAAUUAAAAUGUUAAAUCUUAUGUCAAAUCUUGAUACAGCAAUUACAUGGUAUAUUACUUUAUUAGAGAAAAUGAUUACAUGGAAGAAGUUAAUAAGAUUAGCUCCACUAAGCAAUAUACAGCAAAACUGUCAGGUUUAAAUAAUGGGAUCAACUCCUGACAGAAUACUAUUCAUUUAGUUCAAUUUACGUAUAUGGCUGAAGAGUCACUCCAUUGAAUUACAAUCAGAUGGAGAGAAACAUAUUUAACCUAACAAAUUGGGACUGCUUUUAAUAAUGGGCUGGAAUGGUGUUCCCAAUUCCAAUUAUUUCAAUAGUAGAAAAACUGAUUCAAGAAUGAAGUAAAAAGUGCCUUACUCAUUUCACCUUCUCUAAAUUAGUGAAUGAAGGAUCAUAUAAAUCCUUAAAGUUACAAACAUCUCCAUGAGAAAGUAAAUACCCAAUCAGAAGUACUUACAAAUCAAGUAUUACAACUGUGUACCAGACAAAAACAAAAUGGUACUGGUAACUCAGCCGGACAAGAAGCUAAUUGAUAAUGCCACAGUUCUAGCCAAAUGUAAACGUAUACCUUAUCUUAGAAGUAGUAUGUAAUUGAGAAAAAACUUCCAAUUCAUUCCAACCCAUGCCUACCCCAACUUACUGGAAAUAGUAAUCGAAAAGAUGUGAAGUUGGAGGUGCAGAUGUAGUGAAAAAGGAUCUAGUCCUUCCCUGGCGUAUAUGACAAAUAAACUGUUUUCGGGCUUCCAGCCAGGUACAGGCAUCAAAUAUAACUGACACUGCGAUGGCAAACUGCCAUCUUCAUCAGGGAUCAUCGAAAUGUCGAUUAUAAUUGAUACCUGUAUCCGGAUGGAAACCUGAGAAGAGUUUAUUGGUGCAUAUCUGGUAUUAAAAAGUAAUGCUCGGGUGAAAACAGCUCCACAGCAAUCAUAUACCAGAUACCAAUGUAUUUUUGAAUUAUUAACCAGUAGGCUAAGUAGAGCAGAAAUAAAGUUUUGGAUAAAUGUUCUUAAUUGGCCGCACAACAAUUGCUUUUCAGUUUGCUCAUAAUGAUUUCAGCUUGUUAAGUUUAAUAUAAUUCAGUUUCCAUUGAACAAAACCACUGAGAAAAAGGACAUCUGCUCGUGGAAUAGUUUGAAACAGUGUUACCCACGUCGGCAAAACAUUCUCAAGUAGAGUGGAAAUUACACACAAUCUAAAUCGAGAAAGCAUUUGAAAAUAUGCACCUAAAAUGAAGACGUGCAGCAUUCUCACAUCCUCAUCUGUUUUUUCCCUUAAUCACGCGUCCUCCCAUACAGCUUCAUCACAUCAUGCUGGUACAUACACCACUUUGUUCUUUUCUUCACAAAGGAUUUGCCAUGUCAUCCUGUA